GAUGAACGCUAGCUACCGGUUUAACACAUGCAAGUCGAGGGGUAACGACAGCGAAAGCUUGCUUUUGCUGGGCGACGACCGGCGCACGGGUGAGUAACGCGUAUCCAACCUGCCCAUAACUAAGGGAUAAUCCGUAGAAAUGCGGUCUAAUACCUUAUGUGUUCCGACGAAGACAUCUGAAUUGGAAUAAAGAUUUAUCGGUUAUGGAUGGGGAUGCGUCUGAUUAGAUUGUUGGCGGGGCAACGGCCCACCAAGUCUGCGAUCAGUAGGGGUUCUGAGAGGAAGAUCCCCCACAUUGGAACUGAGACACGGUCCAAACUCCUACGGGAGGCAGCAGUGAGGAAUAUUGGUCAAUGGGCGAGAGCCUGAACCAGCCAAGUAGCGUGCAGGACGACGGCCCUAUGGGUUGUAAACUGCUUUUGUAUGGGAAUAAAGUGCUCCACGUGUGGAGUUUUGUAGGUACCAUACGAAUAAGGACCGGCUAAUUCCGUGCCAGCAGCCGCGGUAAUACGGAAGGUCCGGGCGUUAUCCGGAUUUAUUGGGUUUAAAGGGAGCGUAGGCCGUGGAUUAAGUGUGUUGUGAAAUGUAGGCGCUCAACGUCUGACUUGCAGCGCAUACUGGUCCACUUGAGUGCGCGCAACGCGGGCGGAAUUUGUCGUGUAGCGGUGAAAUGCUUAGAUAUGACGAAGAACCCCGAUUGCGAAGGCAGCUCGCGNGAGCGCAACUGACGCUGAAGCUCGAANGUGCGGGUAUCGAACAGG
rnacentral:rRNA from 1 species